rnacentral:rRNA from 1 species
CCGGUUGAUCCUGCCGGACCCCACUGCUAUCGGGAUGGGACUAAGACAUGCUAGUCGAGCGUCUCCAAGCUAUGGAAGAGACGCGGCACACAGCUCAGUAACACGUGGCUAACCUACCCUUGGGACAAGGACAACCCCGGGAAACUGGGGCUAAUCCCUGAUAAGUGAGAACUCCUGGAAUGGGUUCUCGCUCAAAGGACGUUUAGACCAUGCUUCUAAGCGUCGCCCAAGGAAGGGGCCGCGACCGAUCAGGUUGUUGGUGAGGUAACGGCUCACCAAGCCUUUAACCGGUACGGGCCGUGAGAGCGGAAGCCCGGAGAUGGGCACUGAGACAAGGGCCCAGGCCCUACGGGGCGCAGCAGUCGCGAAAACUCCGCAAUACACGAAAGUGUGACGGGGCCAUCCCGAGUGCCAUCCGCUGAGGAUGGCUUUUCCCCAGUGUAUAAAGCUGGGGGAAUAAGGAGAGGGCAAGCCUGGUGUCAGCCGCCGCGGUAAUACCAGCUCUCCGAGUGGUGGGGAUGCUUAUUGGGCCUAAAGCAUUCGUAGCCUGCUUGGCAAGUCCUCCGUUAAAUCCAACGAUUCAAUCGUUGGGCUGCGGGGGAUACUGUCCGGCUAGGGGACGGGAGAGGCCGACGGUAUCCUCGGGGUAGGGGUGAAAUCCUAUAAUCCCGGGAGGACCACCAGUGGCGAAGGCUGUCGGCUAGAACGCGCUCGACGGUGAGGGAUGAAAGCUGGGGGAGCGAACCGGAUUAGAUACCCGGGUAGUCCCAGCUGUAAACGAUGCAGGCUAGGUGUUGGCGCGGCUACGUGCCGCUCCAGUGCCGCAGGGAAGCCGUUAAGCCUGCCGCCUGGGAAGUACGGCCGCAAGGCUGAAACUUAAAGGAAUUGGCGGGGGAGCACCACAAGGUGUGAAGCUUGCGGUUUAAUUGGACUCAACGCCGG